rnacentral:rRNA from 1 species
UACGUAGGGGGCGAGCGUUGUCCGGAUUUAUUGGGCGUAAAGAGCGUGUAGGCGGUUCGGCAAGUCUGUCGUGAAAUCCUGAGGCUCAACCUCGGGCGUGCGAUGGAUACUGCCGGGCUAGAGGGUGGUAGAGGCGAGUGGAAUUCCGGGUGUAGUGGUGAAAUGCGCAGAUAUCGGGAGGAACACCAAUGGCGAAGGCAGCUCGCUGGGACGUUACUGACGCUGAGACGCGAAAGCGUGGGGAGCAAACAGG